AAUGAGACAAAAAUUUCUAGAAAUGUUUAAUGCAUAUAAUUUGAUUUCUUUUCUUUUCCUUUUAGAGACCAACAUGACUUACCACUGAAAUUAUACUGCAAACAACUGAAAUAUAUCUUUAUAUUACUAUUUAGACCUGGUCAAGGUGGACCAAAUGUACUGAUUUUUGGGCUUACAACUAAAAGACAAUGUCAACAUAUCUUUGCAUGUGAA
rnacentral:lncRNA from 1 species